rnacentral:rRNA from 1 species
GACGAACGCUGGCGGCGUGCUUAACACAUGCAAGUCGAACGGAAAGGCCCUGCUUUUGUGGGGUGCUCGAGUGGCGAACGGGUGAGUAACACGUGAGUAACCUGCCCUUGACUUUGGGAUAACUUCAGGAAACUGGGGCUAAUACCGGAUAGGAGCUCCUGCUGCAUGGUGGGGGUUGGAAAGUUUCGGCGGUUGGGGAUGGACUCGCGGCUUAUCAGCUUGUUGGUGGGGUAGUGGAUUACCAAGGCUUUGACGGGUGGCCGGCCUGAGCGGGUGACCGGCCACAUUGGGACUGAGAUACGGCCCAGACUCCUACGGGAGGCAGCAGUGGGGAAGAUUGCACAAUGGGCGGAAGCCUGAUGCAGCAACGCCGCGUGCGGGAUGACGGCCUUCGGGUUGUAAUCCGCUUUCGCCUGUGACGAAGCGUGAGUGACGGUAAUGGGUAAAGAAGCACCGGCUAACUACGUG